rnacentral:rRNA from 1 species
AUUGAACGCUGGCGGCAGGCCUAACACAUGCAAGUCGAGCGAGCGGCGGACGGGUGAGUAAUGUCUGGGAAACUGCCUGAUGGAGGGGGAUAACUACUGGAAACGGUAGCUAAUACCGCAUACCAUCAGAUGUGCCCAGAUGGGAUUAGCUAGUAGGUGGGGUAACGGCUCACCUAGGCGACGAUCCCUAGCUGGUCUGAGAGGAUGACCAGCCACACUGAAACUGAGAAACGGUCCAGACUACGAAGGGAGGAAGCAGUGGGGAAUAUGGCACAAGGGGCGCAAGACUGAUGCAGCCAGGCCGCGGGUGUGAAGAAGGCCUUCGGGUUGUAAAGCACUUUCAGCGGGGAGCGUUACCCGAAGAGGAAGCACCGGCUAACUACGUGCCAGCAGCCGCGGUAAUUC